rnacentral:rRNA from 1 species
GAUCAUGGCUCAGGACGAACGCUGGCGGCGUGCUUAACACAUGCAAGUCGAACGGGAUGAUUUAGAAGCUUGCUUUUAGAGAAUCUAGUGGCAAACGGGUGAGUAACACGUAGACAACCUGCCGACAGGAUGGGGACAACAUUCCGAAAGGAAUGCUAAUACCGAAUGAAGUCAGAGGAGGGCAUCCUCUUCUGAUGAAAGAUGGCCUCUGAAUAUGCUAUC